rnacentral:rRNA from 1 species
AAUGAACGCUGGCGGCGUGCCUAAUACAUGCAAGUCGAACGACCGCACAGUAAGCUUUCUUCUCUGCUGUUAGCGAGUGACGGGUGGGUAACGCAUACAUCACCUUCCUCUAAUUCUUGGGUAACUUCGUAAAACCGCAUCUGCUACCACCUCAUAUUUUGUACCGCAUGGUUCAAAAGUUCUUCACGCUCUUCCUGUCACUUUUAGCUGAAUCCGCGCUGCAUUAUCUAGUUGGUAAGGUAACGGCUUACCAAGGCAACGAUGCAUAGCCGACCUGAGAGGAUGAUCGGCCACACUGGAACUGAGACACGGUCCAGACUCCUACGGGAGGCAGCAGUAGGGAAUCUUCCGCAAUGGGCGAAAGCCUGACGGAGCAACGCCGCGUGAGUGAUGAAGGCCUUCGGAUCGUAAAGCUCUGUUAUUAGGGAAGAAAAGAUGUGUAAGUAACUGUGCAUAUCUUGACGGUACCUAAUGAGAAAGCCACGGCUAACUACGUG